UGAGGUAUGGUGUAAUUGUCUGGUGGUACGCACUACACUAAACAUCUAACAGAAACAUUCUCACAAAAGUUAUGAGACAAUCUGGACUGCUUAUAAAAGGUGUACUUAGGACUACGCCCAGUAAAGCGUUGUUUCCCAUGCUGAACUGGCUGAUUGUGGACCUUCUCGCUAAACAACUGGCAAUGAACGGUUCCAGAGGUCAUGCUAAGAUUGUAGAUCUUCUAUCAAACCUAUAUCAUGCUAUUGACUACCAUAUUCCGGAACCGUGCAUUUCAAGGAACUUCCAAUAUAGUUUAAUCUGUGAUUAUAAUGAAUUGACACCUGAUAGUGUCGAAAGCUUUAAUGUGUAUACAGUUGGCUCUAAAACAACUAAAGGUGUCGGCGGUGGCAUAUUCAUUGAUGAAUUCGGGACGAAAAUCUCUUUCCGACUCAACGACGAAUGUACUAUUUUACAGGCUGAAAUUUCAGCUAUAAAGAAGGCAUCUAAUUGGCUUAGGUACUAUCGGAUAUCCAAUAGGGAUAUCAGAAUUUAUACUGACAGUCAAUCCGCCAUCAAAUCCCUGAUAGGUGUGUAUUCUACAUCAAAACUUGUCCAAGAAUGCCGGGCGUCUCUAAAUGAGAUGGCGAGACAUUCAAGAAUUAACCUCGUUUGUGUCAAAGGACACGGGGAUAUAACUAGCAAUACUACUGCUGACAUUUUGGCAAAGCCGGCACGAGGAUGACCAUACUGGAUAUAGACCAGACUGUCCGGCCCUGGAAUCGUUCCGUCAUCAGGCGCUGGGUUCGUCUCACUUUUCUGAUCUAUCAAAUGUUCAACCUGAGUGUAUACUAGCAUUCUUGAAAUUGUCAAAAUGGGGUUAUAUUUGGAAUAUGGCUUAUGCCAAUUAUGGACCAAGACCUUUUGAACAAAAUAUUAAUUAAAAAAAAAAUGUUACAUUUUUAUGAGUUUUUCUGAAGACGAAUUAAUUUUAAUGUAAUUUGGUUGGUUGUAAAAAUUAUGUGUAUUGUUAGUAAACUAUCAAGUUCCGAACGGAAACAACAAUGGAGACUUCCAGACGUCUACAUCACCAUAAACAACCUAUAAAUGUUUUCCAAACCAUUUGUGAUCUACUGGUGAAAGCCAUCUGUGACAUCCAUUUAAGUUAUUCUGUAUAACAUAUUUCAUUGUAAAAUUGUUUUGGUUUUCUUCAUUCAAUUUAUUUUCCUCUGCAACUCUUUCAUCUAAAAUUUGUUGAGAAACUACUUCAGCCUUAAGAGAUAUUUCCAAUAUUAUUCUUCCUGCUUUAAUAGGUGUGACGUAAUGAUCAAUAGCACCCUUUCCACCACCCAUUCUUUGGCCUUGACCUUUUUUAGUUAUAGGUUGCCAAGGGGCUGGUAUUCUCCAAAUUGCAAACAUUCUACUGAUAUCCAUUUUGCGACCAAUUGUAAGACGAAUCAUUUCCAAAUGUCCCCAACGAAGGCGACCGCCACCGGUUGCUAUUAUACCAUACUGUUUGUGCAAUAGCGUAUUGUGAACUAACUCUGGACCACGCAUCAACUUUAAUUUUUUUUGCAUUUUCGGAGGACGAAGAUUUGGAGGAUACUGAGGACUUCUAUCCAAUACUUUUAGUUUUGGCCUUUCAACCUGUUCAAACUCUUAAAUAUAGGCGCAGCAAAAUGCUUUAAACCAACAUACUGAGUUUUGAAAAAUCUAUCAUCUGAAACUAUAACCUAAUUAUCGCUUUACAUGAUAAGUAUUAAAUAAUAAUACUUACGUUUGCCGAUGAUAUCCAUAUUUCUUAUAAUACGAAUCAUUUUAAAUAAUUAUAUCCAAAAUAUUGCUUAA
rnacentral:lncRNA from 1 species